GUCGAGCGGAACGAGAUAUCUGAACCUUCGGGGAACGAUAUCGGCGUCGAGCGGCGGACGGGUGAGUAAUGCCUAGGAAAUUGCCCUGAUGUGGGGGAUAACCAUUGGAAACGAUGGCUAAUACCGCAUAAUCUCUUCGGAGCAAAGAGGGGGACCUUCGGGCCUCUCGCGUCAGGAUAUGCCUAGGUGGGAUUAGCUAGUUGGUGAGGUAAUGGCUCACCAAGGCGACGAUCCCUAGCUGGUCUGAGAGGAUGAUCAGCCACACUGGAACUGAGACACGGUCCAGACUCCUACGGGAGGCAGCAGUGGGGAAUAUUGCACAAUGGGCGCAAGCCUGAUGCAGCCAUGCCGCGUGUAUGAAGAAGGCCUUCGGGUUGUAAAGUACUUUCAGCAGUGAGGAAGGUUCAUACGUUAAUAGCGUAUGGAUUUGACGUUAGCUGCAGAAGAAGCACCGGCUAACUCCGUGCCAGCAGCCGCGGUAAUACGGAGGGUGCGAGCGUUAAUCGGAAUUACUGGGCGUAAAGCGCAUGCAGGUGGUUUGUUAAGUCAGAUGUGAAAGCCCGGGGCUCAACCUCGGAAUUGCAUUUGAAACUGGCAGACUAGAGUACUGUAGAGGGGGGUAGAAUUUCAGGUGUAGCGGUGAAAUGCGUAGAGAUCUG
rnacentral:rRNA from 1 species